rnacentral:rRNA from 1 species
AUUGAACGCUGGCGGCAUGCCUUACACAUGCAAGUCGAACGGUAACGCGGGGCAACCUGGCGACGAGUGGCGAACGGGUGAGUAAUGUAUCGGACCGUGCCCAGUUGUGGGGGAUAACUGCUCGAAAGAGCAGCUAAUACCGCAUACGACCUGAGGGUCAAACAGGGGGAUCGCAAGACCUCGCGCAAUUGGAGCGGCCGAUAUCGCAUUAGGUAGUUGGUGGGGUAAAGGCGCACCAAGCCGACGAUCUGGAGCUGGGCUGAGAGGACGACCAGCCACACUGGGAAUGAGACACGGCACAGACUCCUACGGGAGGCAGCAGUGGGGAAUUUUGGACAAUGGACGCAAGUCUGAUCCAGCCAUGCCGCGUGCGGGAAGAAGGCCUUCGGGUUGUAAACCGCUUUUGUCAGGGAAGAAAAGGCUCCUUCUAAUAUAGGGGGCUCAUGACGGUACCUGAAGAAUAAGCACCGGCUAACUACGUGCCAGCCGCCGCCGUAA